GACACAGAGACGUAAAGAGGACUGGUAGGAGCCUGGACUACUUUCCUGCUGCAAAAGAACAGGACCCACAUGAACGGACGGCCUCAAUCACCUGAAACAGAGCUGUGCUCCUCCAACUCCUCCACUGGUUGUUAAACAGGCUGCUCCUCAAGUACAGUUUCUGUGACUGAGGUUGUUGUGAAGUGUGAACACUCAGUAAACUCUAUACAUUCUCGAAGUCUGCUGCUCCUGCUUCUUCUUCUCUGUAUUUUUGUGUAGGGUCAGAGGUCAGUGGUUCGAGACCCGUCUGUGUAGAGAUGGAGUCGAGCUUCAAAACGACAGAGUAUAAAUAUGGAUAUAAUUUACGUAUGUUUUACCAUGUAUGGCGAAUUGUUAUGAAUAACUUUUAGAUGAAUUCUGACUUCCGACCGUUUUCAUCGUUGUUUUAACUGGGCGUCGAACCGGUGAACCUCACAUCACCAACAGUUUCAACACGGUUGACAGUUCCGCAUUAACGGCAGACGGAUGCCCCGCCCCCUCCAAUCAAGGCGCAGAAGCAGUUCCAAUAGUUUCCAAACCCGGAAGACGGUCAGCCAAUCAGAGGGCCGCUGUGGUUCCAAUAUCGAGAAUCAGACUUUGUGGUGACUUCUGUCAUCCAAUCAGAGGCCGGAUUUGUUCCAAUAUUCCUCCAGGACCCUCCCCUGUCACUGGAACCUGCUGAACGGUGCGGACGAGACUCCCAGGGGUUGAUGGGAAAUUUUGCGUGAUGAGCCAUUACGUCAGGCUGCAGGAUUGGAGGGAACAAUAGAUCAACUCGACGCUCCUCCUCCCACAUUGCUCACAGAUGACCCCAGAACACCCUCUCUGCAUCCCCCACCGUGCUUUACCAACAGAAAACUAGCUCCUGCACUCUCAGAGGGGGAGGGAGGACACACAGACAGAAACUCGAUCACUUCCCUGCUACGUGGAAAAUCACGACAGCGACAAGCACCUCAGCUUGAAACAAAUGCAUGGUUUCAUGUUGAAUCCAGCUGAGCUUUUCUAAGCUGGCAGACCAAUCAGAGGGAACCCGAUGUUCCGAUAUCGAGAAUCAGACUUUGGGGACUUCUGUCUUCCGGAUUUGUUCCAAUAUUUCUCCCUCCAUUGUUACUCGCGGUGAACUUGAAUGGCGACCCAGUCGACUACAAGCCCGUUUACAGCAAGUACUGUAAGUUUGAAUUGGUGCCACCAAUGCCACCCUGGUUCUGAGCCGGUGGAAGGUCCAGUUUGGGAAAUACCAGGGUCAGACCUUCCACCGGCUGCUGGAGAAUGACGUGGGCGUCAAUCUGGUGGCCUCCCACCAGAAGGAGUGAGAGAGGACGGGGUCUCAGUCCCCACUCAUGGCCAACGAGGAUGCCUUCACCCGCUUCUCCUCGGCCUACGAUGACUUCAUGGAGGCUGUCAGGUUCCACCAGGUGUUUGAGGAGGUGCAGGUGAGGUCCCUCCAACCCGGUCAAGAGGGACAGACCCUUGUUGGCUUUGAGGACUUCAAAUUUGAGACCCUGCAGAGCCUCUAUGAAUCUGAGGACCGCUCCAAGAUCCGAUUUGUCAACUACCUGCAGAGAAAGGCACCAGCUCCUGGCUCGCAGAUGGAGAACGCCGUCCGCUACGUCCAGAGCAGAGACAGAGAGCGAGUGCUGUAGCUACCACCACCACUACCACUGGCAGCGGCACAGCUUCUGUCUCCGCCCGGCAGACGAGAACAAGUGCAUUGCAAUUUGCCUCUGACGACGGACAAGGCCAGGAAGCUGGUGACCCUGAAGUCUGUGCUUCCAGGCUCCUUCAGACCAGCUCUUGCGCCCAAAACUUCAGAGGAGCCCUCGGACGAAGAGCUGGUCCAAGCGGGGGUUGACACUGAGCAGUGUAACAGUGAAGCAAAUACUGAGAAAAAACCUGAAUUCACAUUGAUUAGUCUUUUUCCCUGUUGUUCAUUUGUAUAAAUUAAGUCAUAUUUUAAUAUCUGUAAAUGUGUGUAUAUAUAAAUACUUGCA